UCAGACACUCUAAAGCUUCCAGGCUUGUGUUAGCAGCUUCACUGUUUUUAUCUGAGCAGGAACUUCUCCAGUUGACCUUUCUCCACACCUAUUUUCAAGCUCUUGCUUUCUUCAGCCACAUUCCUGCAAUCCUGUUCCAAAUCAGAGCUGCAGUCUUCCCAAGGCUCAGCCAUGCGCCUGGCCAUCCUCCCGUUGCUGGCAGUACACUUUAUUCUGAGAGACACCAGCGCUCAGUCAGUGACUCAGCCUGAUGCUCAAGUCACUGUCUCUGAAGACGCCUCUCUGCAGAUAAGAUGCAACUAUUCCUCCUCUGUGCCACCUCGCCUGUUCUGGUAUGUCCAGUACCCACGGCAGGGGCUGCAACUGCUUCUCAGCUACUACUCAGGAGACCCAGUGGUCCAUGGCAUGAAUGGCUUUGAGGCUGAGUUUCUCAAGAGCGACUCUUCCUUCAUCCUGAGGAAAGCCCGUGUGCACUGGAGCGAUUCAGCUGUGUACUUCUGUGCUCUGAGCGCACAGUGUCUGGGGCUGCAGGGGGAGCUGAACACAAACACCCAUGGCAGUGGAUUCCUGGGAUUUGAAUAUGCUCCACCUCACCAGUUCCAUGCCAGUUCUCCUGGUGGCAAGGUCCAUGUGCCCCACAUCUUUCAAACUAGUAGCAAGAAGAGAAGGAAGAUAAGACGAGACAAGACAAGUGAUCCAGGCCCAGAUGCCUUUGCACAACCUACUUCCAGCUAA